CACUUGAGCCACUUCCAUGACUUCUGACUUCUUCCUUUGACUUCUGACUUUCUGCCUGGGCUGGAUUUGAAGAGCUCUCAAAUCUCAGCCUCCUGAGCUGCGAAGAUGACAAGCAUCACCCACCAUUGCCUGGCUGCCUAAAAAUUUCUCAAUGGAAACUUCCGCAAACUUCAGGAUACCUUGGGAUAAAUUUACUAGCUGUGUUCCACUGACACAUCAGAACUCCUUAGAGUUUUAAAGGAGAACACACUAAAGAAUGAUACAGACGUUUUGAGAAUAUCUGCUGGAAACUCAUAGCAGUUUUCUCUGUUUUUGAAAUGCAGCCAGCUACCAUGGAACAAGAAGUUAAACCUCUCAGAGAUCACCACAUUUUGAUGGAGCCCAGGCUAGCUCUGGUGAAACAAGUUAUAACCAAAAUCAAUAAGGGAAAAUAAAAUUCCAGCCAUAUGUGCUCAGUGAAGCUGCCCCAGUCACGGUGACCCCAGUGGUUUGAGUCAUACCAGAUGACAUUUUGAAUAAAUGAAAGACCAUUC